rfam:Felis catus isolate Cinnamon breed Abyssinian chromosome E2, whole genome shotgun sequence.
GCCUGGGUGGCUCAGUCGGUUGAGCGUCCGACUUCAGCUCAGGUCACGAUCUCGUGUCCGUGGGUUCGAGCCCCGCGUCGGGCU